rnacentral:rRNA from 1 species
AUGGGAACGCGAAGAACCUUACCUACUCUUGACAUCCAGAGAACUUUCCAGAGAUGGAUUGGUGCCUUCGGGAACUCUGAGACAGGUGCUGCAUGGCUGUCGUCAGCUCGUGUUGUGAAUGUUGGGUUAAGUCCGCAACGAGCGCAACCCGUUAUCCUUUGUUGCCAGCGGUUAGGCCGGGAACUCAAAGGAGACUGCCAGUGAUAAACUGGAGGAAGGUGGGGAUGACGUCAAGUCAUCAUGGCCCUUACGAGUAGGGCUACACACGUGCUACAAUGGCGCAUACAAAGAGAAGCGACCUCGCGAGAGCAAGCGGACCUCAUAAAGUGCGUCGUAGUCCGGAUUGGAGUCUGCAACUCGACUCCAUGAAGUCGGAAUCGCUAGUAAUCGUAGAUCAGAAUGCUACGGUGAAUACGUUCCCGGGUCUUGUACACACCGAGUCGUGGGA